UACGUAGGGUGCGAGCGUUAAUCGGAAUUACUGGGCGUAAAGCGUGUGCAGGCGGUUUUGUAAGCCAGAUGUGAAAGCCCCGGGCUUAACCUGGGAAUGGCAUUUGGGACUGCAAGGCUUGAGUGCGGCAGAGGAGACUGGAAUUCCCGGUGUAGCGGUGAAAUGCGCAGAUAUCGGGAGGAACACCUAUGGCGAAGGCAGCUCGCUGGGACGUUACUGACGCUGAGACGCGAAAGCGUGGGGAGCAAACAGG
rnacentral:rRNA from 1 species